UACGGAGGGUGCGAGCGUUGUCCGGAAUCACUGGGCGUAAAGGGCGCGUAGGUGGCGCGGGAAGUCAACGGUGAAAGUUCGGGGCUCAACCCUGAAUCGGCCGUCGAUACUCCCGGGCUCGAGCACUGUAGAGGCAGAUGGAAUUCCGGGUGUAGCGGUGGAAUGCGUAGAGAUCCGGAAGAACACCGGUGGCGAAGGCGGUCUGCUGGGCAGUUGCUGACACUGAGGCGCGACAGCGUGGGGAGCAAACAGGG
rnacentral:rRNA from 1 species